UUGAUUGACACUGGUUUCAUGUCUCUGUCUCCCUGCUGUAGAAAGUUAUUAAAAAUAAGGAUAAUUUUGGACAUGCAAAUCCCUAAUAAGCCACUUGGGGUAAAAUGAAAGGUUGUGAAAAAUGUCCACUCUCUCCCUCUAUUGAUUGACAGUGGUUUCAUGUCUCUGUCUCCCUGCUGUAGAAAGUUAUUACAAAAAGAAUGUACAUUUUGGACAUGCAAUUCCCUUUUCUACCAGUAGGGGUAAAAAGAAAGGUUGUGAAAAAUGUCCACUCUCCCCCUCUAUUGAUUAACAGUGGUUUCAUGUCUCUGUCUCCCUGCUGUAGAAAGUUAUUACAAAAAGAAUGAUAAUUUUGGACAUGCAGUUCCCUAAUCAGCCACUUGGAGUAAAAUGAAAGGUUGUGAAAAAUGUCUACUCUCUCCCGCUAUUGAUUGACACUGGUUUCAUGUCUCUGUCUCCCUGCUGUAGAAAGUUAUUACAAAAAUAAGGAUAAUUUUGGACAUGCAAUUCCCUAAUAAGCCACUUGGGGUAAAACGAAAGGUUGUGAAAAAUGUCCACCCUCCCCCUCUAUUGAUUGACACUGGUUUCGUGUCUAUGUCUCCCUGCUGUAGAAAGUUAUUACAAAAAGAAUGUCAAUUUUGGACAUGCAAUUCCCUUUUCUACCAGUAGGGGUAAAAAGAAAGGUUGUGAAAAAUGUCCACUGUCCCCUUCUAUUGAUUGACAGUGGUUUCAUGUCUCUGUCUCCCUGCUGUAGAAAGUUAUUACAAAAAGAAGGUUAAUUUUGGACAUGCAAUUACCUUUUUUACCAGUAGGGGUAAAAUGAAAGGUUGUGAAAAAUGACAACUGUUGCCCUCUAUUCAUUGACACUGGUUUCAUGUCUCUGUGUCCCUGCUGUAGAAAGUUAUUACAAAAAGGUGGUUAAAUUUGGACAUGCAAUUCCUUUAUCAGCCACUUGGGGUAAAAUUAAAGGAUGUGAAAAAUGUCUACUGUCCGCCACUAUUGAUUGACACUCGUUUCAUGUCUCUGUCUCCCUGCUGUAGAAAGUUAUUACAAAAAUAAGGAUAAUUUUGGACAUGCAAUUCCCUAAUAAGCCACUUGGGGUAAAACGAAAGGUUGUGAAAAAUGUCCACUCUCCCCCUCUAUUGAUUGACACUGGUUUCGUGUCUAUGUCUCCCUGCUGUAGAAAGUUAUUACAAAAAGAAUGUAAAUUUUGGACAUGCAAUUCCCUUUUCUACCAGUAGGGGUUAAAUGAAAGGUUGUGAAAAAUGACA